AAGUGUUAUGCACUGCUUGUGGUAUAUUCACUGCUGCAUUGGAUUCUCAAUGUCGAUAGUGACGAUUCGCAUUGAUAGCACUGUACAUUUUUAUAUUAUAAUGAAUAAUUUUUUGAGCUAGUUUUCAAUAAAAGUCCCCGUUGGGAAUUAUUUAGAAAUGAAUAGAAGUAAACAAAGCAGUUGCCAAAGCAGUGGAAAACAAGCAGAGUGACCAGACUGUGCCCAGUUGAAAUUAAUCAGAUGUGUCAAGCAGUUCCUAGUGUGGUCACAUUUCCAUACUCUGUAACCAUAGAACUAUUUUGAGGGUAUACAGUUGCAAAUGUUUUUAUUUGUUUUCAAAAUUCUUGACUGCAUGUGCUGAGAUUGCCUUUUAUGGAUAUGAAAUCUCUUAUCUGGUUGUAACACAUGGUUUCACUAAGCUCCUGGAAUCGAUGAUAAUAAUCACACUGGGCACCUCCUGCCUGCUAAGUAUUCUGAUGUUGUUCUCCACGUUGCAUGACCAUGAAUCAUCGGCCAUUAUUUUGACUUAUCUAACGUGGAGCAUAUUCACAACCUCUUUUUUGGGUAUCUUUUUCCUGUUAUCCUGGGCACGGGCGGUAAUUGUAUCUAUAUCAGUAUUCUUUGGUCUAUGUGUGUGCUCAACAAUUGUCAAGUGUUAUUCCAUGCUGGUGGUAUUGUCAUUCUUGCACUCGAUCGUUACCUCCGACAGUGAUGAUUCGACUUAAGAACAAACUGAAAUUCUUCUGUAUGUUAUUGGAUAACAAUUACGAAUGGAAAUUGUACAAAUGGUUUAAGGAUUAACGUGCAAAAGUGUUUUCAAAAAGCAGUAGAACGUCUUUCAAGCAGUUCAAAACAACUGCAAAAUGGACAAGCAGUGCAAAUGUAAAAGCCCGUUUAUUUUGAAUAAAUGUAAAGCUGAUUUUGUAAAUUAUUUAAACACAUUGUGACUUAGAAUACAUCAAAAUUCUAUGAAUAAUUGUAUAUUUUUUUAGAUGUACAUAAAACAUGUACGUGAACAAUGUGCAAAAUAGAAAAUAUUAAAUAUCUUGCUUUUA
rnacentral:misc_RNA from 1 species